CUCGACCUAUCUUGAAUGUCAAAACGACUCUCGGCAACGGAUAUCUCGGCUCUCGCAUCGAUGAAGAACGUAGCGAAAUGCGAUACUUGGUGUGAAUUGCAGAAUCCCGUGAACCAUCGAGUCUUUGAACGCAAGUUGCGCCCGAAGCCAUUAGGCCGAGGGCACG
rnacentral:rRNA from 1 species